rnacentral:tRNA from 1 species
UGGGGGAUAGUCUAGCGGUAGGACACAUGGCUCUGGACCAUGCAGCGGAGGUUCGAAUCCUCCUCCCCCAGCCA